GAUGAACGCUGGCGGCGUGCCUAAUACAUGCAAGUAGAACGCUGAAGGAAGGAGCUUGCUCUUUCCGGAUGAGUUGCGAACGGGUGAGUAACGCGUAGGUAACCUGCCUGGUAGCGGGGGAUAACUAUUGGAAACGAUAGCUAAUACCGCAUAGCAGUAGAUGUUGCAUGAUAUCUACUUAAAAGGUGCAAUUGCACCACUACCAGAUGGACCUGCGUUGUAUUAGCUAGUUGGUGAGGUAACGGCUCACCAAGGCGACGAUACAUAGCCGACCUGAGAGGGUGAUCGGCCACACUGGGACUGAGACACGGCCCAGACUCCUACGGGAGGCAGCAGUAGGGAAUCUUCGGCAAUGGACGGAAGUCUGACCGAGCAACGCCGCGUGAGUGAAGAAGGUUUUCGAAUCGUAAAGCUCUGUUGUAAGAGAAGAACGAGUGUGAGAGUGGAAAGUUCACACUGUGACGGUAUCUUACCAGAAAGGGACGGCUAACUACGUG
rnacentral:rRNA from 1 species